rnacentral:rRNA from 1 species
UGGGGAAUUUUGGACAAUGAGGGAAACCCUGAUCCAGCCAUCCCGCGUGUGCGAUGAAGGCCUUCGGGUUGUAAAGCACUUUUGGCAGGAAAGAAACGUCAUGGGUUAAUACCCCGUGAAACUGACGGUACCUGCAGAAUAAGCACCGGCUAACUACGUGCCAGCAGCCGCGGUAAUACGUAGGGUGCAAGCGUUAAUCGGAAUUACUGGGCGUAAAGCGUGCGCAGGCGGUUCGGAAAGAAAGAUGUGAAAUCCCAGAGCUCAACUUUGGAACUGGCUUUUUAACUACCGGGCUAGAGGGUGUCAGAGGGGGGUGGAAUUCCGCGUGUAGGAGUGAAAUGCGUAGAUAUGCGGAGGAACACCGAUGGCGAAGGCAGCCUCCUGGGAUAACACUGACGGUCAUGCACGAAAGCGUGGGGAGCAAACAGG